rnacentral:lncRNA from 1 species
AGGAUUAUUGCUUCUGUCCCAUAAGCCAAAUUAAAGGAGGAUUCUCCAGUCGAUAUGCAGGAAGUUGUUUGGUAUGCCCAUAAAACUGGAUACAGUUCUCCCACCCAGAGGUCUUUGGCUUCAUUUAGUCAGAUUUUGAGCUCGUACAGGAUUGAUCAGUUGGUUACCUUCACCUCUCCAUUUGAUUGUAGAUGACCGACUAAUAUGAGUUUGGGCGUAAUAUGAAAUCUCGCAUAGAACUCUCUGAAAUUCUGACUGUUGAAUUGUUGAUCAUUAUCGGUGAUGAUGGUGUGCGGU